AUUGAACGCUGGCGGCAUGCCUUACACAUGCAAGUCGAACGGUAACGGGCCUUCGGGUGCCGACGAGUGGCGAACGGGUGAGUAAUGCAUCGGAACGUACCUUUCAGUGGGGGAUAACGUAGCGAAAGUUACGCUAAUACCGCAUAUUCUGUGAGCAGGAAAGCAGGGGAUCGCAAGACCUUGCGCUGAUUGAGCGGCCGAUGUCAGAUUAGCUAGUUGGUGAGGUAAAGGCUCACCAAGGCGACGAUCUGUAGCGGGUCUGAGAGGAUGAUCCGCCACACUGGAACUGAGACACGGUCCAGACUCCUACGGGAGGCAGCAGUGGGGAAUUUUGGACAAUGGGCGCAAGCCUGAUCCAGCCAUGCCGCGUGAGUGAAGAAGGCCUUCGGUU
rnacentral:rRNA from 1 species